UGAUUUCUGUGCUUCCUUUUUGUCUAUCACCUCCUCAAGAUGAUUUAUUAUCAACUCCCCGCUUAGUUGGUUUAAGCAUUUUAGUUCUUCAAUGCUACCUCCCUUAUCUGGACCCACAACAAAUAAUGAGAGUGUUUCAAGACAAGUUAAACGCCCCACCAUAGAUGGCAUAUGGUCAUCUUUAGAAAAUUCAAUAUGCAUCAAGCUGAUCAGAUUGCUCAUUUUAUUUCUAGGAACCUCUUU
rnacentral:misc_RNA from 1 species